rnacentral:rRNA from 1 species
CCUACGGGUGGCAGCAGUGAGGAAUAUUGGUCAAUGGCCGCGAGCCUGAACCAGCCAAGCAGCGUGAAGGAUGACUGCGCCACGGGUUGUAAACUUCUUUUAUCAAGGAACAAAGUGAGGCUCGUGAGCCUUUUCGUGUGUACUUUAUGAAUAAGGAUCGGCUAACUCCGUGCCAGCAGCCGCGGUAAUACGGAGGAUCCGAGCGUUAUCCGGAUUUAUUGGGUUUAAAGGGAGCGUGGAUGGGCUGUUAAGUCAGGGGUGAAAGUCUGCGGCUCAACCGUAGAAUUGCAUUUGAUACUGGCAGUCUUGAGAAGAGUUGAGGUAGGCGGAAUGCGUGGUGUAGCGGUGAAAUGCUUAGAUAUUGCGAAGAACUCCGAUUGCGAAGGCAGCAUACUAGAGUGGAACUGACGUUGAUGCUCGAAAGUGUGGGUAUCAAACAGGAUUAGAUACCCGAGUAGUC